rnacentral:rRNA from 1 species
UAACCUGCCCAAGAGAUCGGGAUAACACCUGGAAACAGAUGCUAAUACCGGAUAACAACAGAUGAUGCCUAUCAACUGUUUAAAAGAUGGUUCUGCUAUCACUCUUGGAUGGACCUGCGGUGCAUUAGCUAGUUGGUAGGGUAACGGCCUACCAAGGCGAUGAUGCAUAGCCGAGUUGAGAGACUGACCGGCCACAUUGGGACUGAGACACGGCCCAAACUCCUACGGGAGGCAGCAGCCA